CGCAUUAAAUUCGAAACUGUUAAAUAAGCUAUUUAAACGACGGUCUAAAGUUACCAAUGACGUAGACAUGACUUCAAGGUUGUAUGGUUGUUGUCCGUAUGAGGACGACGUAUACGAAUUCAAUAGAAAUAUAAUAAGGUUUUUUGAGUGUGUGCAAAAUCAUAAAGGUUUCACACCAUUAGUUUGGUAUUAUGAUGAUGUGGUUUACUCGGGUAUCUAUACUGUUUUAUGGUGCAGACCUUGUCGACAUUAUCAAAAUGGUUUAUGUAUGUGUUGGAAUGAUAGACAUGUCAUGGUCUCUCACGUAAAUGCUGACACUGGUUUGCGUACUACAACACAGCUUCAAU